rnacentral:lncRNA from 1 species
AUGAAAUCCCAUGGAGAUGAGGCAUAUAUGUAUCUGGGUGAUGUUGUGCAGCAAGUGACAGUGUCUAGGAAACAUCCCCAGAACAUCACAAAAAUAUCUGCGCUCCUGAUUUGGGGAGAGGAUGUGCUGCAUGGCCCAGAGGAAGCUCACGAGCAUCUCUCACCUGAGGAACCAGCCACCAAAUUUGUCGACAGUUUACAUGGUACACAGGAGGCAACUCUGCCCUGGGCAGAUGCUGCUCAGACACCUGGCCCUGGCAAUGCCUCCACCCGUAGCUGCUCAUACCAGACCUGUCAAGCAAGCAAACAGCAGCAAGAGAGCAAAAGACACAGAGCCUUGGUGCUGUUGUGGAGCAGAUGCCUCCAAAAGGGCAAGAACAUGGCUCAGGGGCCAUGUGACUCGGGGUGAACCGAAUCCGCACGUUUUAAUUAAAAUGGCUAUCAUCCACAUUUUGUUUUCUUUAUAAACAUUUGCAGAGUAUCAGUAGCCAAUCUAAAUGUCUCAGCAGACGAGUACAUACUGUACUUCGGCUCUUUUUUUCUAGAGUGCUGGAGAAAACACAUGAGCUGGAGCCAGCUGAUGUGCUCUCCAUGGG